UGAGCUCGAUGAGUAGGGCGGGACACGUGGUAUCCUGUCUGAAUAUGGGGGGACCAUCCUCCAAGGCUAAAUACUCCUGACUGACCGAUAGUGAACCAGUACCGUGAGGGAAAGGCGAAAAGAACCCCGGCGAGGGGAGUGAAAAAGAACCUGAAACCGUGUACGUACAAGCAGUGGGAGCCUCUUUAUGGGGUGACUGCGUACCUUUUGUAUAAUGGGUCAGCGACUUAUAUUCUGUAGCAAGGUUAACCGAAUAGGGGAGCCGAAGGGAAACCGAGUCUUAACUGGGCGUUAAGUUGCAGGGUAUAGACCCGAAACCCGGUGAUCUAGCCAUGGGCAGGUUGAAGGUUGGGUAACACUAACUGGAGGACCGAACCGACUAAUGUUGAAAAAUUAGCGGAUGACUUGUGGCUGGGGGUGAAAGGCCAAUCAAACCGGGAGAUAGCUGGUUCUCCCCGAAAGCUAUUUAGGUAGCGCCUCGUGAAUUCAUCUCCGGGGGUAGAGCACUGUUUCGGCAAGGGGGUCAUCCCGACUUACCAACCCGAUGCAAACUGCGAAUACCGGAGAAUGUUAUCACGGGAGACACACGGCGGGUGCUAACGUCCGUCGUGAAGAGGGAAACAACCCAGACCGCCAGCUAAGGUCCCAAAGUCAUGGUUAAGUGGGAAACGAUGUGGGAAGGCCCAGACAGCCAGGAUGUUGGCUUAGAAGCAGCCAUCAUUUAAAGAAAGCGUAAUAGCUCACUGGUCGAGUCGGCCUGCGCGGAAGAUGUAACGGGGCUAAACCAUGCACCGAAGCUGCGGCAGCGACGCUUAUGCGUUGUUGGGUAGGGGAGCGUUCUGUAAGCCUGCGAAGGUGUGCUGUGAGGCAUGCUGGAGGUAUCAGAAGUGCGAAUGCUGACAUAAGUAACGAUAAAGCGGGUGAAAAGCCCGCUCGCCGGAAGACCAAGGGUUCCUGUCCAACGUUAAUCGGGGCAGGGUGAGUCGACCCCUAAGGCGAGGCCGAAAGGCGUAGUCGAUGGGAAACAGGUUAAUAUUCCUGUACUUGGUGUUACUGCGAAGGGGGGACGGAGAAGGCUAUGUUGGCCGGGCGACGGUUGUCCCGGUUUAAGCGUGUAGGCUGGUUUUCCAGGCAAAUCCGGAAAAUCAAGGCUGAGGCGUGAUGACGAGGCACUACGGUGCUGAAGCAACAAAUGCCCUGCUUCCAGGAAAAGCCUCUAAGCAUCAGGUAACAUCAAAUCGUACCCCAAACCGACACAGGUGGUCAGGUAGAGAAUACCAAGGCGCUUGAGAGAACUCGGGUGAAGGAACUAGGCAAAAUGGUGCCGUAACUUCGGGAGAAGGCACGCUGAUAUGUAGGUGAAACGACUUGCUCGUGGAGCUGAAAUCAGUCGAAGAUACCAGCUGGCUGCAACUGUUUAUUAAAAACACAGCACUGUGCAAACACGAAAGUGGACGUAUACGGUGUGACGCCUGCCCGGUGCCGGAAGGUUAAUUGAUGGGGUCAGCGCAAGCGAAGCUCUUGAUCGAAGCCCCGGUAAACGGCGGCCGUAACUAUAACGGUCCUAAGGUAGCGAAAUUCCUUGUCGGGUAAGUUCCGACCUGCACGAAUGGCGUAAUGAUGGCCAGGCUGUCUCCACCCGAGACUCAGUGAAAUUGAACUCGCUGUGAAGAUGCAGUGUACCCGCGGCAAGACGGAAAGACCCCGUGAACCUUUACUAUAGCUUGACACUGAACAUUGAGCCUUGAUGUGUAGGAUAGGUGGGAGGCUUUGAAGUGUGGACGCCAGUCUGCAUGGAGCCGACCUUGAAAUACCACCCUUUAAUGUUUGAUGUUCUAACGUUGACCCGUGAUCCGGGUUGCGGACAGUGUCUGGUGGGUAGUUUGACUGGGGCGGUCUCCUCCUAAAGAGUAACGGAGGAGCACGAAGGUUGGCUAAUCCUGGUCGGACAUCAGGAGGUUAGUGCAAUGGCAUAAGCCAGCUUGACUGCGAGCGUGACGGCGCGAGCAGGUGCGAAAGCAGGUCAUAGUGAUCCGGUGGUUCUGAAUGGAAGGGCCAUCGCUCAACGGAUAAAAGGUACUCCGGGGAUAACAGGCUGAUACCGCCCAAGAGUUCAUAUCGACGGCGGUGUUUGGCACCUCGAUGUCGGCUCAUCACAUCCUGGGGCUGAAGUAGGUCCCAAGGGUAUGGCUGUUCGCCAUUUAAAGUGGUACGCGAGCUGGGUUUAGAACGUCGUGAGACAGUUCGGUCCCUAUCUGCCGUGGGCGCUGGAGAACUGAGGGGGGCUGCUCCUAGUACGAGAGGACCGGAGUGGACGCAUCACUGGUGUUCGGGUUGUCAUGCCAAUGGCACUGCCCGGUAGCUAAAUGCGGAAGAGAUAAGUGCUGAAAGCAUCUAAGCACGAAACUUGCCCCGAGAUGAGUUCUCCCUGACUCCUUGAGAGUCCUGAAGGAACGUUGAAGACGACGACGUUGAUAGGCCGGGUGUGUAAGCGCAGCGAUGCGUUGAGCUAACCGGUACUAAUGAACCGUGAGGCUUAACCUU
rnacentral:rRNA from 1 species